UACGGAGGGUGCAAGCGUUAUCCGGAUUCACUGGGUUUAAAGGGUGCGUAGGUGGGCCUGUAAGUCAGUGGUGAAAUCUCCGGGCUUAACCAAGGAAGUGCAUCCGAAACUGCUGAGCUUGAGUACUUAAGAGGAUCGCGGAAUUCCCGGUGUAGAGGUGAAAUUCGUAGAUAUCUGGAGGAACACCGGUGGCGAAGGCGGCAUCCUGGACCGGCAUUGACGCUGAGGCGCGAAAGCCAGGGGAGCAAAGCGGG
rnacentral:rRNA from 1 species